rnacentral:rRNA from 1 species
GCCAGCAGCCAUAUCACCCUGUAGCCCAAGACUGGUUGCCCAUUGAAGCUAAGCAGGGUUGAGCUGGCCAGUACCUGGAUGGGGGACUUCCUGGGAAAACUAGGUUGCUGCUGGAA